GGGCUUGGGCCCCGCGUAUCAUCCCCUCCCUCUUGGAAAGGAUUUGUCCUCAAAUCUGAUGGUUCGCCUGAGGACUUAUUAUUGUAAUCUCCAUGGAAGUUCCUCCUGGAUCAAAUAUUAAUCUGCAAUAAGCAUCAAACAUAUCUCUAAUUAGUUUAAUUUGACCCAAUAAGAUGUAUAAAGAAAGAUGUUUAGAGGAAGGUUUCCUAGCUUUGAAAUUUUCAAGUUUAUGACUAAAAAGAAACCUUACUCCAUUUGAAAAUAUAUUUUUGUCUUGAAUUAGUGAUAACUUGGAAGAUAUCUCUAACUCAAGUCUUUGAUUGCCAUGUGUUAAAAAUUGCAACUUUUGAAAAGGUUUAAUGGCAAAUUCUUGGAAAGAAAAGGUAGAAUUAAAGCAUUCAAUAACAAUUGGAAAGUGAAAAGAUAGAAAACCUCCCCUUAAAAAUUUGUGUUCUAUUGUGAGAAUAGGGGAUGUUGCCAUUUCUUUCUUCUUUUCUUCCAUGUCUUUCUUUUCAUGUUCUUUCUUCUCUUCCUCUUCCUUUCUUUCUUUCUCUCUUAUUUUCUCUUCUUCUCUUCUCUCUUGUACUCUUCUCUCUCUUUCUU
rnacentral:lncRNA from 1 species